CUAAGGAAUGUCCAGUAGUAAUCAGACACACUUGGCAGGAGAGCAGGGCAGGGUGAUCCAUCUCCUUUCUUGGUUGUCCUUUAUGUUUCCACUGACUAAAGGCCCAGUGAGAGGCCGGGAAGGUCCGCUUCUAGUAGACCACAUGUGUUCACAAAGAGGGCACAGGAGAUACUGUGCCACAGUAUCAGGAAUCUGGGGCAUAUGGGGGCAGGAACAGUGAAAAUCUGAAAACAUUGGAAAUCAGUUCCAAUGAUGCAACUGCAUUUAUUUCCCGGAGAGAGAAAUUCAAGCUAUACUUAGAAUUCUGGGCUCUUGUGGCUUUAGAAUUUAAACCUCCAAGGAGUCCAGAAUUUUAGUCUCCCCGAUAUUUAGACUAGGAUCUGGAAUAUUAAAGAUACAGGUUAUUAGAGUCUUAGAAUCCUAAAAUUCUAGCAUAGCAUAGCUCAAAGGGGCCUAAGAACACAUCUAAUUCGAUUUCUUCCAUAGUGGAAUAAAUUGCAGCUCCGGGGAAAGUCUAAAGAAGACCCACUGGAGGCCGGUGCAACUCGUGUUGAGUAUCACAACAUCCAGUGCCUGAGCCAGGCAUAGUGACGUGAGCAAGGAGAAAGCAGAAGCACGUGGUUACCAUGAACCAUAGGUGUAUAAACAGGAUUUCCAGGAAGUAACCAUGUGACGUUCCUCUUGGGCCUGAUCCUUGUAGGCAGAGUGGUCCCUGCCCUGGUGCUAUAUGGCCUGAUUUGAUUGGUGGUUCUCAACCAAGGAUGAUUUCAUCCCUCAAGAGACACUUGGAAGUAUCUGAGGACUUUCGGUCAUCACGCUGCGGAGUAGGAUGCUAUUGGCAUCUAGUAGGUAGAGACCAGAGGUGCCUCUAAAUAUCCUACAAAACACAGGACAGCCCCCAAAAUAGAAUUAUCUGGCCCGAAAUGCCAGUGGUGAAUGUCCAGAAGAGGACUUCGGCCUACAGCAGGCAUCAUUAAAACAUAUUUUCAUUGCCAUGACAUGUACAUGAUUGGAAUAUUUAAAUUGUCUUUGGAAAGCCAAAUAAUUAUGUGUUACAAAGAAUACAAAGUGGAAAAGCAUCAAACAUAAAAGAGUUGUCUAUUGUCCCUACUCAGCAACGCUGAAAGCUGGAAGGAGGAGAGAAAGAGGGAAGAAGAAUGUGGGAGGAGAGCCUGGGACAAAACUCUGCUGACUUCAAGAUCUGGCUGACCCAGCUCUUGAUUCCCCCAAGAGAAAUGUCAUUAAAGACUCGUUGACUUAGCUCAAUAUAUAGCCUGAAGCUUUCUGGGCCCUCGGCCGCCCCUACCCUUUGAAGCACCCCAUCCCUCAAGUUUGCACAAGAAGUUAGGUCAGAAGAGGGGGAAAUUUGUCAUAACCACCGUGGGAAGUGCAAUGUUCAGAGAAAGGCUACUCCUUGCACUCUACUUCUCCCCUAACUUAUUUGAGAGACCCUAGAGACUGGGAAUGUCUAUGGGAAGAGGGGACUGGAGGUUCACUCCCUGGUUCGAUGCCUGCUGAGGUCCUGAUAUGGAAGCCCAUGCCAGACCCGCUGUCAGAGUACAGCAGAGCUUAGAGAGAAAGCUCAAGGGGAGCUUCACGUCUACCUGGAGUUUGAAGGUGCCCGUGAACUCAAAAGAUUGACACUUGCUUCUUCUUCAACAGAAGUAUAUUUAUUUGAAGUAUAAUCGACCUACUGCACAUAGCUAAAGUGUGCAGUUUCACAAGUGUUGACAUAUGAACACUCACACACAUGAAGCCAUCACUACAAUGAAGACAGUGAAUGGAUCCAUUAUCCCCAAAUUUCCUUUGUAAAAAUUUGUCCCUUUGCAAAUUACUCCCGCCUCACCCCUCUCAUUUCACACCCAGUCUCUUCAGACAACCAUUAAUCUGCUUUCUGUUACCGUAGAAUUCGUUUGUAUUUUCUUUUUUCUUUCUUUCUUUCUUUUUUUUUCAGUUUGUAUUUUCUAGAGUUUUAGUUAAGUUGAGUCAUCUAGUAGGCACUCUUUUGUGUCUGGCUUCUCUCACUCAACAUAAAUACGUUGAGAUUCAUCCAUGUGGUCUCGCAUCUCUCUGGUUCAUUCUGUUUUACCACCAGACAGCUUUCCACUAAAUGUGUACACAACAAUUUAUACAUCCAUUUACCAGCUGACGGACUUUGGGGUUGCUUCCAGUUUUCAGCUAUUACAAAGAGAGCUGUGAUGUCCGUUUGUGCACAAGUCUUCAUAUGGACAUAUGCUUUCAUAUGUUUUCGGUGGAAUGGUUAGAUCGUACGGUAGCCUAACAUUUUAAGAAACUGCCAAACUGUUUCUGAAGUGUUUCUGCCACUUUCCCUUCUCACCAGCAGUGUGUGAGAAUUCCCUUUUCUCCGUGUCCUUGCCAACAUUCAGCAUGAUUAGUCUUUUUAAUUAUAGCCGUUUUCAUAGAUGUGAAGUACAGCCACACCGAGGUUUUUAUAUUGCUAAUGUCUAUUCACCAUCUCUAUAUCAUCUUCUGUGAACUGUCUUUUCAAAUAUUUUGUCCAUUUUUUUUUUUAUUGGGUUGCUUGUUUUCUUUUUAUUGAGU